GUUACUGCUAUCGGAGUUCGAUUAAGCCAUGCGAGUCUAAAGGUUUCUUCGGAAACCUUGGCGGACUGCUCAGUAACACGUGGAUAACCUACCCUUGGGACUGGAAUAACCCCGAGAAACUGGGGAUAAUACCGGAUAGAUCAGGGAUGCUGGAAUGCACCUUGAUCCAAAGCUCCGGCGCCCAAGGAUGGGUCUGCGGCCUAUCAGGUAGUAGUGGGUGUAACGUACCUACUAGCCAACGACGGGUACGGGUUGUGAGAGCAAGAGCCCGGAGAUGGAUUCUGAGACACGAAUCCAGGCCCUACGGGGUGCAGCAGGCGCGAAAACUUUACAAUGUGCGAAAGCAUGAUAAGGGAACUCCGAGUGCCAACAUCUAAUGUUGGCUGUCCUUGUGCCUAAAACGCACAAGAUAGCAAGGGCCGGGUAAGACCGGUGCCAGCCGCCGCGGUAACACCGGCGGCCCGAGUGGUAGCCACUAUUAUUGGGUCUAAAGGGUCCGUAGCCGGUUCGAUAAGUCCUCUGGGAAAUCUGGUUGCUUAACAAUCAGACUGCCAAGGGAUACUGUCGAACUUGAGACCGGGAGAGGUAAGAGGUACUUCAGGGGUAGGAGUGAAAUCUUGUAAUCCCUGGGGGACCAUCUGUGGCGAAGGCGUCUUACCAGAACGGGUCUGACGGUGAGGGACGAAAGCUGGGGGCGCAAACCGGAUUAGAUACCCGGGUAGUCCCAGCCGUAAACGAUGCUCGCUAUGUGUCAGGUACGGUGUGACCGUAUCUGGUGCCGUAGGGAAGCCGUGAAGCGAGCCACCUGGGAAGUACGGCCGCAAGGCUGAAACUUAAAGGAAUUGGCGGGGGAGCACUACAACGGGUGGAGCCUGCGGUUUAAUUGGAGUCAACGCCGGA
rnacentral:rRNA from 1 species